UUGGAAGUAGCUCAAUGGUAGAGCAUCUGCCUAGCAAGACAGAGGCCCCAGGUUUGGAUUCCCAGAUCUUCUUCCAAA
rnacentral:tRNA from 1 species